rnacentral:rRNA from 1 species
UGAUGUCGAGUGGCGGACGGCGUGAGUAAUGCUUGGGAACUUGCCUUUGCGAGGGGGAUAACAGUUGGAAACGACUGCUAAUACCGCAUAAUGUCUUCGGACCAAACGGGGCUUAGGCUCCGGCGCAAAGAGAGGCCCAAGUGAGAUUAGCUAGUUGGUGAGGUAAAGGCUCACCAAGGCAACGAUCUCUAGCUGUUCUGAGAGGAAGAUCAGCCACACUGGGACUGAGACACGGCCCAGACUCCUACGGGAGGCAGCAGUGGGGAAUAUUGCACAAUGGGGGAAACCCUGAUGCAGCCAUGCCGCGUGUGUGAAGAAGGCCUUCGGGUUGUAAAGCACUUUCAGUUGUGAGGAAAAGUUAGUAGUUAAUACCUGCUAGCCGUGACGUUAACAACAGAAGAAGCACCGGCUAACUCCGUGCCAGCAGCCGCGGUAAUACGGAGGGUGCGAGCGUUAAUCGGA